GACGAACGCUGGCGGCGUGCUUAACACAUGCAAGUCGAACGAAGUGGCGAACGGGUGAGUAACGCGUAAUCAACCUGCCCUUCAGAGGGGGACAACAGUUGGAAACGACUGCUAAUACCGCAUACUGAAGGAGGGGAUUGCGUCUGAUUAGCUAGUUGGAGGGGGAACGGCCCACCAAGGCGAUGAUAAGUAGGCGGGCUGAGAGGAUGAACGGCCACAUUGGGAAUGGGGCACGGCCCAGACUCCUACGGGAGGCAGCAAUGGGGAAACUUCCGCCAUGGACGAAAGUCUGACGACGCAACGCCGCGUGAGUGAUGACGGCCUUCGGGUUGUAAAGCUCUGUUAAUCGGGACGCGGUACCGGAAUAGAAAGCCACGGCUAACUACGUGCCAGCAGCCGCGGUAAUUC
rnacentral:rRNA from 1 species